GCCUCUUGUCAGUGUGCGCGUGUGCGCGGCGCGACCACACGCUUCAAGGCGGAAGUAGACAUCACGUGACGUUUGUGGUGAUUGUGCACCUGCACAUCACGACCUCACUCGCCCCAGAAAAUAACAUUUAUUUCAAACCUUUUGUUUUCUACAUUUCUACAAGUGCCACAUCAGGAGGUAGUUGAUUGGAAUCGGAUCUUUUUAAAUGUGACCUGAAUACAACUUUUUCCUCAGCUUUGGCCAACCUUCCUGUGCACGGGAAAAGAUGCAGCCCGCCAGCCAGAGUGGAUACUUCAUCACAACAUCCAAUUUCGCACUGCCACUGGUUUGGAAUGUUUGGUCUGAGUUUCUGCUCACACACGACCUUCUUCAUGUCCUCAAUGGACGGAUCUGAAGGCACCAGGUCAUAAUAAGGCAGCUGGAAAUCCUCUUGAAGUCCUGCCGAAUAGACAUGUUUGACUGGUGGUUACGGUGCAAACCAGGCCGCGAGGAAAGAGGCGAGGACUACCUCGGUCGGAGCAUCUCCGGGCCACUUCCCAAAACACCAGACCCAAGGAGUAGAUGUCCGCUCGCUUGAAGGACUCAAAAUUGUUGGCGUUGAUCGUCUCGUCCAGGACUUCGGGGGCCAUGUACCUGCAGGACACAGAGACGUCUUGGAUGGGAGUGUUUUGUGCAGACUGCACGUGCAAUCAAACAGGACAAUAGUGGGAAUGUGUCAGGUGUGUUUCUAGGUCACCUCUUGGUUCCCACUCUGUGGUUGGACGGUAUGUCAAUGCUGUUGCUGCUGGAGUCGUGUUUCACGGCCAAGCCCAAAUCUGCGAUGACAGCGGCGCCGUUCUUCUUCACCAGGACAUUUUUAGACUUGAGGUCCCUGUGAGCGAUGGCUGGCUUCCCUACGAGCAGGACAUGAAUGAUAUGACUCAGCAUUAGUAUCCUUCUGUCAGUCAAUAAAAAUAACAAUAUAUUUUUUUACUGUUUUUAUAUACAUCAAUCAAUCAAUCAAUCAAUGUUUACUUAUAUAGCCCUAAAUCACGAGUGUCUCAAAGGGCUGCACAAGCCACAACGACAUCCUCGGCUCAGAUCCCACAUCAGGGCAAGAAAAAACUCAACCCAAUGGGAUGACAAUGAGAAACCUUGGAGAGGACCGCAGA